AGAGUUUGAUCCUGGCUCAGGAUGAACGCUAGCUACAGGCUUAACACAUGCAAGUCGAGGGGAAACGACAUCGAAAGCUUGCUUUUGAUGGGCGUCGACCGGCGCACGGGUGAGUAACGCGUAUCCAACCUGCCCAUCACUUGGGGAUAACCUUGCGAAAGUAAGACUAAUACCCAAUGACGUCUCUAGAAGACAUCUGAAAGAGAUUAAAGAUUUAUCGGUGAUGGAUGGGGAUGCGUCUGAUUAGCUUGUUGGCGGGGUAACGCCACAAGGCGACGAUCAGCAGGGGUUCUGAGAGGAAGGUCCCCCANAUUGGAACUGAGACACGGUCCAAACUCCUACGGGAGGCA
rnacentral:rRNA from 1 species